CCCACCAAACCGACGAUGGAUAGGGGUUCUGAGAGGAAGGUCCCCCACAUUGGUACUGAGACACGGACCAAACUCCUACGGGAGGCAGCAGUGAGGAAUAUUGGUCAAUGGCCGAGAGGCUGAACCAGCCAAGUCGCGUGAGGGAUGAAGGUUCUAUGGAUCGUAAACCUCUUUUAUAAGGGAAUAAAGUGUGGGACGUGUCCCGUUUUGUAUGUACCUUAUGAAUAAGGAUCGGCUAACUCCGUGCCAGCAGCCGCGGUAAUACGGAGGAUCCGAGCGUUAUCCGGAUUUAUUGGGUUUAAAGGGUGCGUAGGCGGCCUUUUAAGUCAGCGGUGAAAGUCUGUGGCUCAACCAUAGAAUUGCCGUUGAAACUGGGGGGCUUGAGUAUGUUUGAGGCAGGCGGAAUGCGUGGUGUAGCGGUGAAAUGCAUAGAUAUCACGCAGAACCCCGAUUGCGAAGGCAGCCUGCCAAGCCAUUACUGACGCUGAUGCACGAAAGCGUGGGGAUCAAACAGGAUUAGAUACCCUGGUAGUCCACGCAGUAAACGAUGAUCACUAGCUGUUUGCGAUACACUGUAAGCGGCACAGCGAAAGCGUUAAGUGAUCCACCUGGGGAGUACGCCGGCAACGGUGAAACUCAAAGGAAUUGACGGGGGCCCGCACAAGCGGAGGAACAUGUGGUUUAAUUCGAUGAUACGCGAGGAACCUUACCCGGGUUUGAACGCAUUCGGACCGAGGUGGAAACACCUUUUCUAGCAAUAGCCGUUUGCGAGGUGCUGCAUGGUUGUCGUCAGCUCGUGCCGUGAGGUGUCGGCUUAAGUGCCAUAACGAGCGCAACCCUUGCCACUAGUUACUAACAGGUGAUGCUGAGGACUCUGGUGGGACUGCCAGCGUAAGCUGCGAGGAAGGCGGGGAUGACGUCAAAUCAGCACGGCCCUUACAUCCGGGGCGACACACGUGUUACAAUGGCGUGGACAAAGGGAGGCCACCUGGCGACAGGGAGCGAAUCCCCAAACCACGUCUCAGUUCGGAUCGGAGUCUGCAACCCGACUCCGUGAAGCUGGAUUCGCCAGUAACAGCGCAUCAUACAUGUCGCGGUGAAUACGUUCCCGGGCCUUGUACACACCGCCCGCCACACCAUGAGCGCCGGGAACACCCGACGCAGGUAGCCUAACCGCAAGGAGGGCGCUGUCGAAGGUGGGUUCGGUAAUUGGGGUGAAGUCGUAACAAGGUAGCCGUAUCGGAAGGUGCGGCUGGAUCACCUCCUUU
rnacentral:rRNA from 1 species